rnacentral:rRNA from 1 species
CCUACGGGUGGCAGCAGUGAGGAAUAUUGGUCAAUGGACGAGAGUCUGAACCAGCCAAGUAGCGUGAAGGAUGACUGCCCUAUGGGUUGUAAACUUCUUUUAUAUGGGAAUAAAAUGUUCCACGUGUGGGCUUUUGUAUGUACCAUAUGAAUAAGGAUCGGCUAACUCCGUGCCAGCAGCCGCGGUAAUACGGGGGAUCCGAGCGUUAUCCCGAUUUAUUGGGUUUAAAGGGAUCGUAGGUGGAUUGUUAAGUCAGUUGUAAAAGUUUGGGGCUCAACCGUAAAAUUGCAGUUGAAACUGGCAGUCUUGAGGACAGUAGAGGUGGGCGGAAUUGGGGGUGUAGCGGGGAAAUGCUUAGAUAUAACGAAGAACUCGGAUGGCGAAGGAAGCUAACUGGACUGCAACUGACACUGAGGCUCGAAAGUGUGGGUAUCAAACAGGAUUAGAUACCCUGUAGUC